rnacentral:rRNA from 1 species
UUCCGGUUGAUCCUGCCAGAGGUUACUGCUAUCGGUGUUCGACUAAGCCAUGCAAGUCAUAUGUUCCUCGUGAACAUGGCAUACUGCUCAGUAACACGUGGAUAACCUGCCCUUGGGUCUGGGAUAACCCCGGGAAACUGGGGAUAAUACCGGAUAACGCAUAUGUGCUGGAAUGCUUUAUGCGUAAAACGGAUUCGUCCGCCCAAGGAUGGGUCUGCGGCCUAUCAGGUAGUAGUGGGUGUAAUGUACCUACUAGCCAACAACGGGUACGGGUUGUGAGAGCAAGAGCCCGGAGAUGGAUUCUGAGACAUGAAUCCAGGCCCUACGGGGCGCAGCAGGCGCGAAAACUUUACAAUGCGGGAAACCGUGAUAAGGGAACACCGAGUGCCAGCAUCAUAUGCUGGCUGUCCAGAUGUGUAAACUACAUCUGUUAGCAAGGGCCGGGCAAGACCGGUGCCAGCCGCCGCGGUAACACCGGCGGCCCGAGUGGUGACCGUUAUUAUUGGGUCUAAAGGGUCCGUAGCCGGUUUGGUCAGUCCUCCGGGAAAUCUGAUAGCUUAACUGUUAGGCUUUCGGGGGAUACUGCCAGGCUUGGAACCGGGAGAGGUAAGAGGUACUACAGGGGUAGGAGUGAAAUCUUGUAAUCCCUGUGAGACCACCUGUGGCGAAGGCGUCUUACCAGAACGGGUUCGACGGUGAGGGACGAAAGCUGGGGGCACGAACCGGAUUAGAUACCCG